rnacentral:RNase_P_RNA from 1 species
GAAGCUGACCAGACAGUCGCCGCUUUAUUGCCUUAUGGUGAUAUUGGGGAGGAAAGUCCGGGCUCCACAGGGCAGGGUGCCAGGUAACGCCUGGGAGGCGCAAGCCUACGACCAGUGCAACAGAGAGCAAACCGCCGAUGGCCCGUAAGGGAUCAGGUAAGGGUGAAAGGGUGCGGUAAGAGCGCACCGCGUGGCUGGUAACAGUUCGCGGCACGGUAAACUCCACCCGGAGCAAGGCCAAAUAGGGGUUCACAUGGUACGGCCCGUACUGAACCCGGGUAGGCUGCUUGAGCCAGUGAGCGAUUGCUGGCCUAGAUGAAUGACUGUCCACGACAGAACCCGGCUUACCGGUCAGCUUCGAAC